rnacentral:rRNA from 1 species
UGGGGAAUAUUGCACAAUGGGCGCAAGCCUGAUGCAGCCAUGCCGCGUGUGUGAAGAAGGCCUUCGGGUUGUAAAGCACUUUCAGCGGGGAGGAAGGCGAUAAGGUUAAUAACCUUGUCGAUUGACGUUACCCGCAGAAGAAGCACCGGCUAACUCCGUGCCAGCAGCCGCGGUAAUACGGAGGGUGCAAGCGUUAAUCGGAAUUACUGGGCGUAAAGCGCACGCAGGCGGUCUGUCAAGUCGGAUGUGAAAUCCCCGGGCUCAACCUGGGAACUGCAUUCGAAACUGGCAGGCUAGAGUCUUGUAGAGGGGGGGAGAAUUCCAGGUGUAGCGGUGAAAUGCGUAGAGAUCUGGAGGAAUACCGGUGGCGAAGGCGGCCCCCUGGACAAAGACUGACGCUCAGGUGCGAAAGCGUGGGGAGCAAACAGG